GCCCUUGAGUUUGAUCAUGGCUCAGAAUGAACGCUGGCGGCGUGCCUAACACAUGCAAGUCGUACGAGAACUCUUUAAGCUUGCUUAGAGAUAGUAAAGUGGCGCACGGGUGAGUAACGCGUGGGCAAUCUGCCUCCAAGAUCGGGAUAACUCGCCGAAAGGCGUGCUAAUACCGGAUAAUAUUUUAGGAACGCAUGUUCCAAAAAUCAAAGAUGGCCUCUACAUGUAAGCUGUUGCUUGGAGAGGAGCCCGCGUACCAUUAGCUUGUUGGUAGGGUAACGGCCUACCAAGGCUGCGAUGGUUAGCUGGUCUGAGAGGAUGACCAGUCACAUUGGAACUGAAACACGGUCCAGACUCCUACGGGAGGCAGCAGUGAGGAAUUUUGCGCAAUGGGGGAAACCCUGACGCAGCAACGCCGCGUGAGUGAAGAAGGCCUUUGGGUUGUAAAGCUCUGUCAAGUGGGAAGAAACUAUUCGAUGCAAAUACCAUCGGGUACUGACGGUACCGCUAAAGGAAGCACCGGCUAACUCCGUGCCAGCAGCCGCGGUAAUACGAAGGGC
rnacentral:rRNA from 1 species